rnacentral:rRNA from 1 species
AGAGACAGCAGUCGCCGCGGUAAUACGAAGGGGGCUAGCGUUGUUCGGAUUUACUGGGCGUAAAGCGCACGUAGGCGGACUUUUAAGUCAGGGGUGAAAUCCCGGGGCUCAACCCCGGAACUGCCUUUGAUACUGGAAGUCUUGAGUAUGGUAGAGGUGAGUGGAAUUCCGAGUGUAGAGGUGAAAUUCGUAGAUAUUCGGAGGAACACCAGUGGCGAAGGCGGCUCACUGGACCAUUACUGACGCUGAGGUGCGAAAGCGUGGGGAGCAAACAGGAUUAGAUACCCCUGUAGUCCCUGUCUCUUAUAC